CUUAUAGCAGACUCAUUCUGGCUGCUGUGUUGAAAAUAAAAUGAGGCAGAGCUGGAGCCAAAGCAGGAAAAUCUGGGAGGAGGCUAUUUUAACCAUCCACGCGAGAGAUGAUGCUGGUCUGCUUGAGUUUCCUGGAGGUCCACUCCAGACCCUAUUUGCCUGGAUAUCACCAGCAGAGGCUGCAGAACAGCAAAGAUUGCUGCUUGCUCCUUCCUGUGGAAGCUUCAUCCCAGAGGGGCACCCACCUGAUGCCAGCCAGAGCUCUCCUGUAUGAGAGAUGCCCUGCUCAGUAAGGAGGAAUCUAGAGAGGCAGUCUGAC
rnacentral:lncRNA from 1 species